UUCUCGACAACGCCGUUGAAACGGUUUCGACAAGUUUUGCGCUUUUUACGCUGAAGGGACGCGCGUAGCCAACCUAAAGAAACUAUCGAGUUAGCAACCCUCGCUAAGAGAUCAAGCCAGCCAGCGACACAACAUUGAUUCUCCAAUGAAAUAACUGAUCCAGCUCUCAAUAAAUUCAAAACUUACCCUUACUUUUGACACUUCGUGUAAUUCCGUGUCGAUCGGGUUCGAAGUAUCACUUCAGGUGCAUCAUCUCUAUGUGGAGAAAGUCUUGUUAAUAUGGCGGCGAUGAGGUAAACAGAUAGGAAGUGAUGGAGUGGCAGACCCACGGGGGAUAACCGCAUGAGGAAAAAAGCAGGAGGCUGGAGACCAGGGGAAGGCGUGGGAAAGCGACUAGAGAACGAGCGAACGGUGGAAAAGCCGAGCGAUCUGCAGGCAUUCCUUUGUGAUUACACAUCUGUGGAGAAGGAGGCCAGACAUUCUUUCAGCCAGUGUCUGAAGCUGCUGACUUCUGCCCUCGAUCUCUGCGCUGUUGUUUUUUUUCUUAUCUGUAAAAAAAAAAAAAAAAGAAACUCAGCUGUGAACGUUUUAUUUGGUGACUGGAGACUGUGUUUCCUAAUACAGAAGCAUGACGCUCGCUGAAUCAGCCCCUUUCAACUUUGUACUCUGAUUUAAAGUCUCAAAACUCAACCUUGUGUCCUUGUUCUUGCAAUGAGAUACGAGAUUUCAGUGCUGAGCACUCAUGUUCAGCACUUCCUUCCUCUUUUGCAAACAUAAACCUCAGAACCCUUCCUUAAUCCAGUCAUCCACUGGUGGGAGGCCGAACAUGACAGCAGACGGACAAGGCAAACACUGGUGGGGGUGGUGCUUGUGUUCCUUCUUUGUUCUGAUGCUGACCUCUUCAUUAAAGGGCCUUUGUCACCAUGUAAGGAUUAAGAGUGAAAGAGAGCUCUUCUUCUGCUAGUCAGGGUUAAAGUCUGUCUCCUAAUAAAAUGCUCUUCCAUAUGUGCACAUCAAUGCAAUGUGGCAGUGAUCUUUUAUAACAUUUGCUUGAAGGAUUUCAAAGAUGUUUCCUCUCAUCCUACUCUUUUAAAAACAGAUUUAAGCCAGACAGUGGCGGAGUUUUGUAAAGUAAACCAGUUAUUAAAUAAAGUAGUUCUUAAGUAACUUAUCUCUGGCCAUGAUCAAUGACCCAAUUAUAAAGAAUUAAUUUAAUAUUCUCAAGAAAUAAAGUCUAAGGCCUGCUGUUUAAUUCAUUUAACUGUUCAAUCAAAAAAUGAAUGCAAUUGAAAACGCAUUUCGUAUCAGCUAUCAGUCUUCCUAUGCUAAGAAAUUGAUUUUUUUCUAAGCUUGCGUGCAUUAUGACAAAUUGUUUGCCUCGGUUAGUAAAAUAUAUGAAUAUAGCUGUAUUUUAAGACUUUGUAACUUGUAAAGCAACAUAUUUGUUUGCAUUGUUCAUUAUUCUCUUAUUAUCACACUUUGCUAUAUUUUUAAUUACCACAGUGACAGGAUAAAUGCCAUGUGGCUGUGAGUAAACACAAGUGAAGCAGUGCAGUCAUUACUGUAUCAGAUGCACGAUACCGCCCUCUACUGGACAGGCAAACAAAUAGCCGAAGAUGAAGCUAUAAAAACAUCAAUAAAUCUUUUACAAAUGCCA